rnacentral:snoRNA from 1 species
CUCAGACAGACCUGGAGCAGUUCAUGUCUGCUGCUAAGGUUUCCAGAAAAAGAAGGUCCUUGUGCUUUCUGUCUGGUUGUGGCAGCCAAGAUUGAAUGGGGGAAUACAGGA